CUGCCUUGUGCACCAUCGACCUCCCUGAGUUUUCUUUCUCUGGUGGGGGAGCUAUUGGCCACGAUCUGGAUGAGACAGAGUUCAGCAACAGGGGAGGGGUGAAUCGACGGCGGCAGCAGAGCGGAUGGAGAGAGUUGCAAGAGCCUAGGCGCCCAUCACCGUGGCUUUCUCGUCGUUCGCGUGCCACCAUCGCGGUCGUUAUUGGAGCUUUGAAAAGUUCUUCCCUCUUCUCUUACUUCGUGACGUUGCUCCUCCGAUCUUCAGUUAAGCUGCAGCCUCACACACUUCAGGUUCAUGGGUCCGGCGGCUAAAGCACUUAGGCAUGGUCGCGGAGGCGGCGUACAUGGGUGUGUCUGCUAACUAGGCCACUGGGUGGGUGACGAAGUUAUGCGAUGAGGUUUUCUAGGGUAAGUUUUGGGAUGUUUCCUUGUUGAUAUCUUCCCUCCCGGGCUUUGAUUUGGUUCCCACUGUGUAUCUUUCCCUGUCUUUCUCCUUUGAUUUGUUGUCUUGGCUUAGCUAUAUAAUUAUGUGAGUCCUAAUUAUCACACCAUGGGACAUGUAAUGGACCAGCUCCAGGUUUGCUAAACAGCUGCAGGCUUGCACCAUCUAAAGAGGAGGAUCUCAGAUGUAGAUACGAUGGAGCAAAUUUUGUUUUGUGGUUGCAGCAUAGACUCGGUUGACGAAGCACUACAUGGCUUUGAUCACUCAAAACACCCAAAUACAAUAUGAUGGUUCGUCCUUGCAAUAUGGAGCCACACACUCCAAAUUCAGUAAGUUGGAAGCACUGACACACCCUCGCUAGACCUGCUCUGCAUGGUGUAUAUGUUUCCAUCCUUUUAACUCUGCUGACGGCAUGCCUCCAUGACGUUCUGUUCCUACACGACGAGCAGUUCCUUCGGAACAUACUCCUGUUGCAUGUCAUUUUGUUCCUCCGCGCCAUGCUGCUCGUGUUGUUCCUGUUUUGCCUUUUAUACGUCCGAGGCCUCUUGCUCCCGUUGUUCGAAAGAGGAAGCGUGUGUUCCUUAACUCUGUUGAUGCUGUUCGUUUCUUUCCACAUGCCUUGCUAGACAGGCCCUUGUUCCCUUAGCGUGUGUUUUGUUUUCUGUGUCCAAUAGGAGAUGGGUUCUUUCCAUUGCUUAGUUCUGCUGAAACUGCCAAAAACCAUAAAAGGCACAUGUUCUUGUUGAAUAGGCUCCGUGCUCAUAACAAGGGUGGUUAGUCUGCAAUUCCCACUAUCUUUCAUAGGCCUUCAUGCUUUUUGAUUGUGGUUCCAUUGGACAAAACACCUAUUUUGAUUGUGGUUGUCUUCACAAUGUUCGUUUGCAAUUUGGAUGGCUUCGGCCAAUUUCUUAUUGGAAAGAAGACAGAUAGUGAA